GACGAACGCUGGCGGCGUGCCUAAUACAUGCAAGUCGAACGCAGUGGGGACGGGUGAGGAACACGUGGGUAACCUGCCAUCAGAGGGGAUAACACUUGGAAACAGGUGCUAAAGCUAUACUGCUGGAUGGACCCGCGGUGCAUUAGCUAGUUGGUAAGGUAAAGGAUCACCAAGGCAACGAUGCAGAGCUGAACGGAGAGGGUGAUAGGCCACACUGGGACUGGGAAACGGUCCAGACUCCUACGGGAGGCAGCAGUAGGGAAUCUUCGGCAAUGGACGAAAGUCUGACCGAGCAAAGCAGCGGGAGUGAAGAAGGUUUUCGGAUCGUAAAACUCUGUUGUUAGAGAAGCGGUAGCUAACCAGAAAGCCACGGAUAACUACGUGCCAGCAGCCGCGGUAAUUC
rnacentral:rRNA from 1 species